rnacentral:rRNA from 1 species
UACAGAGGGUGCGAGCGUUGUUCGGAUUACUGGGCGUAAAGCGUGCGCAGGCGGCUAAUGCAAGACAGAUGUGAAAUCCCCGGGCUCAACCUGGGAACUGCAUUUGUGACUGCAUAGCUAGAGUACGGUAGAGGGGGAUGGAAUUCCGCGUGUAGCGGUGAAAAUGCGUAGAUAUGCGGAGGAACACCGAUGGCGAAAGGCAAUCCCCUGGGCCUGCACUGACGCUCAUGCACG